rnacentral:rRNA from 1 species
UACGUAGGGGGCAAGCGUUGUCCGGAAUCAUUGGGCGUAAAGCGCGUGUAGGCGGCUCGAUAAGUCUGCUGUGAAAGUCCAGGGCUCAACCCUGGGAUGCCGGUGGAUACUGUCGGGCUCGAGUCCGGAAGAGGCGAGUGGAAUUUCCGGUGUAGCGGUGAAAUGCGUAGAGAUCGGAAAGAAUAUCGAUGGCGAAGGCAGCGGCCUGGGUCCAGACUGACACUGAGGGGCGAGAGCAUGGGGAGCAAACAGG